ensembl:lncRNA
AACAAUGGUUUACGAUUGAUUGAACAAUAGUUUACUGUUUAUUGAUUGAACAAUGGUUUACUGUUGAUUGAUUGAACAAUGGUUUACUGUUGAUUGAUUGAACAAUGGUUUACUGUUGAUUGAACAAUGGUUUACUGUUGAUUGAACAAUGGUUUACUGUUGAUUGAACAAUGGUUUACUGUUGAUUGAACAAUGGUUUACUGUUGAUUGAACAAUGGUUUACUGUUGAUUGAACAAUGGUUUACUGUUGAUUGAACAAUGGUUUACUGUUGAUUGAACAAUGGUUUACUGUUGAUGGAACAAUGGUUUACUGUUGAUUGAACAAUGGUUUACUGUUGAUGGAACAAUGGUUUACUGUUGAUUGAUUGAACAAUGGUUUACGAUUGAUUGAACAAUAGUUUACUGUUUAUUGAUUGAACAAUGGUUUACUGUUGAUUGAUUGAACAAUGGUUUACUGUUGAUUGAUUGAACAAUGGUUUACUGUUGAUUGAUUGAACAAUGGUUUACUGUUGAUGGGACUGCAACACCACAGUGCAGCAGCUUUGGGAGAAUAUGCACGUCCCACAUGUUACCCUUUUGCCUAUAUAGUGCACUACUUUAGACCAGACCCUAACACCCUAUUCCCUAUAUAGUGCACUACUUUAGACCAGAGCCCUAACACCCUAUUCCCUAUACAGUGCACUACUUUAGACCAGGGCCCUAUAGAACCCUAUUCCCUAUACAGUGCACUACUUUAGACCAGGCCCCUAUAGAACCCUAUUCCCUAUACAGUGCACUACUUUUGUGCCAUUUGGGAUACAGGCCAUAUCAUGUGCUGGCUGUCGGGUGAGUUGGUUUGUGUUGGAGGCUGUUGAGGCUAAAGGUUGUGGAGGCUGUUGAGGCUGGGGGCCAGCCUGGACCUGAUUGUGUGUGUUGUAUAUCCUGUAGUCUGUUCAUUGUCUUACGUCAGAGAGCACACCGAUUCCACCUGCAACCAUCGGAUGAGGGACGAGCCUCGCGUAGAAGUGACGCCACCUGACGUAAGACAAUGGUACAACUCUGACGCAGCUGACCAUAGGUCAGGGCCCGGUUAGUUACGGUGAGGCAGAGCAGACCAUAGGUCAGAGCCCGGUUAGUUACAGUAACUCAGAGCAGACCAUAGGUCAGGACCCGGUUAGUUAUGGUAAGGCAGAGCAGACCAUAGGUCAGGAUCCGGUUAGUUACGGUAACUCAGAGCAGACCAUAGGUCAGGAUCCGGUUAGUUACGGUAACUCAGAGCAGACCAUAGGUCAGGACCCGGUUAGUUACGGUAACUCAGAGCAGACCAUAGGUCAGGAACCGGUUAGUUACGGUAACUCAGAGCAGACCAUAGGUCAGAGCCCGGUUAGUUACAGUAACUCAGAGCAGACCAUAGGUCAGAGCCCGGUUAGUUACGGUAACUCAGAGCAGACCAUAGGUCAGUACCCGGUUAGUUACGGUAACUCAGAGCAGACCAUAGGUCAGGACCCGGUUACUUACGGUAACUCAGAGAUGGCUCUCCAUUCACACUGUAUAGAGAUCUAGCAUGUCUGUCCUAAACAAUCAAUAAAGAUGUCUUACUAUCAAAACCA